rnacentral:misc_RNA from 1 species
GUUUUGGUUUACUAAAAUCUUUUCUUUUUGGUUGACUUGUGACAGUUGUAUUCCAAGGUUUGCUUGGUUGGACUUGAUGAAGAAUCUUAAUUGAGUCUUAUGAUACAUGGUGAAUUGUGAACCUAUAGCUUAAGAUUUGUUGGACAGUAGUGCUUUUCAUCAAAGUGCACUUAUAAGUUCUUUUGCAGUUUGACCUGUUAUCUUCUUCCUUUUAUUUUAUUUGUUUUGCUAAGUUAAAACCCAUUUCAUUUCUUAAGAAAUUAUAAAUUUUGACGAUUAUGCUGCUUAAAUCCCUUUGCAGCUUCU